rnacentral:rRNA from 1 species
AAAAGAAACUAACAAGGAUUCCCUCAGUAACGGCGAGUGAACGGGGAGAAGCCCAGCGCUGAAUCUUUCGGUGUUACACCGUUGAGAAAUGUAGCGUAUAGGUAUGAUUUUCAGUUUGUGCUAUAUGUCCAAAGUCCCUUUGAUAGGGGCCACUUUCCUGAGAGGGUGCGAGACCUGUGCGGACAGUGGAGCAAGCUGUAUGAUUAUACCUUAGAGUCGGGUUGCUUGAAAGUGCAGCCUAAAGUGGGUGAUAAACUUCAUCUAAGGCUAAAUAUAGACGCGAAUUCGAUAGCAAACAAGUACUGUGAAGGAAA